AUGGUGUUAACUUAGAUGAUUUGUUUUGCAGGUAGCUGAGUUUGGGGAAGGAAGGGAAAUAGUAGGAGUGGUAAGAGCGUGUAUUAAAACGGUAUCAAGAGGAGAAUCAUCGAAUAUGAAUGAUUAUGUCAAGUUGGCUUAUAUUCUCGGACUCAGAGUCUCUCCAACUCAUAGGUAACUAUUUAUAUAUUAACGUGAGUUUAAUUGAUGGCAAUAAAUUUUUUGUAAAAACGGGUAAAACCAUAAAGUUGCCGUUAAAAAAUCAGAUUCUAAACGAGAAAUUAAAAAUAGAUCUAAAAAUCAAUCAAAAUUGUACUAUUCGCACCAUUUGUAUAUUCAUAUUAUGCCUUUUUACAUAUUAUUGUCAUACAUUUCCUCUUUGGUUACAUAUGCUUAAUCACACUGUUCGUGACGUAUAUCUCUUAAAUCUUGCUUUUAACCUGGUAAACCCCGUCUAAUCGCAAAUUAUCCAACCGAGUACAAAACAAAGAUGGAUAAUAAAUUUAUAUUUGUUUAGUAAACCAGACGGGGACAUGAUAAUAAACCCGUCCCCAUACCCACCCAUCACCACCAUCCUAUGAUUUCUCUAUUUUAACUGUUUGAUUAAUGUUUCUGUCAGUUCCAUCAUAUCUUUGUCACUCGAUAUUUUAUAUAACGAUUUAUUUGAGUUGUGAUACUGGACGGAAAAGAUGACGGAAGUUGAUAGAAAUGUUAUUAUAUUACGCAGAUCAUUAAAUUAGACGAGUGGGUUAUUAGUGAUUAUAAAAUGAAAGUUAAACAAUCAAAUUGUUACAAUGCUCAAAUUUUGUGACCGCAUGUAUGUUUAAAGUAGUGUAUAAUUAAAGGGCUUUCUCGAAGGUUUUGGUGUUUUGCUUUUGCUGGGCUCUGAAGUUUGGCAAAACCCCACUGACCUCCCACAAAAUAUAACUAGUUAUUUGAUUGGGACCUAAAGAAACAUAAUUUUCCUCGUAUCAUGGAAAUAAAUAAAUAAAUAUUAUAUAUACGACCUAACAAAAUCAAAAUUGAUAAUUCAUAUGUUAAUUAGCUAGCCUGUCUUCGACGCGUGUAUAUAAAAUUACAUCCCCUCUUUAUCUUUUGGGAACAAUUAUCUAUUAAUUACUUUGCAAACGACAACCCUUAAUUAUUUAUUAGUUAUUACUUUAAAACUAAUUAUAAUUUAAAAAAUGGGGACAACAAAGCACAAAAGUAUUCGUGGUGCAACAUUGCUUAGGCAUAAUUUGGCAAGUUUUACCAAAUUUCAAUUGGACAUAUGGGUUAUUCUCCAAUCCAAUAGCAUAUAUCAUACACAUAUUCUUCUGUUAGUGCUUUCAAUUAAUACUUCUUAUUUGAAAAUAAUUCGCUUAUACGAAAUCACGAUCUCAAUGUAGUUACUAUUUACUAGUUCGUUACAUUAUAAUUAAUAUUUGUUCGAUUAUUAUUUCGUUAUUGUGAUCUUAAUUACUAUAUUGAUUUUUAGUUUCGUGUAAGGUUGAAUUUUUUAUUAUGUAGUUAAAAAAUAAAAUAUGAUAAAUUGAUUAAUUUUUUGAUUCUGUCACUAACCCGAGAUAUUUGGACAAUACAGGAGACUUAGUAUAGGCGCAAAGCUAGUGUCCAAAGUAGAAGAAUGGAGCAGACGAAACGGCGCCGUAUACACAUACAUUGCAACCGAUUGCACCAACCAACCUUCCAUCAACCUCUUCACUGGCAAAUUAUCCUACACAAAAUUCCGUACCCCGGCGAUGCUAGUCCAGCCGGUGCACGCGCACCGCAAGUCCAUACCAUCCUCCACAGCAAUCAUUCAACUAACCCCACGCGCCGCCUCUCUAAUCUACCGGAAGGUGUUCAAGUCCGCCGAAUUCGUUCCCAAAGACAUCGACUCGAUCUUCUCCAACAAACUAAAUUUAGGCACCUUCAUAGCCGUGUCCAAAAAACACGCGGACGGUACCAAAAGUAACACCCUUAGUAGUUGUACUGAUCUACCGACGAGCUUUGCCAUCAUGAGCAUUUGGAACACGAAGGAAGUGUUUCGAAUGCAAGUGAAGGGCGCGUCGAGGGUCAGCCGGGCUUGUUGUGCCGCGUCGUGGAUGAUGGACACGUGGCUACCGUGUCUGAAGCUGCCGUCGAUCAACCCUAGAGUGUUCGGGGAGUUUGGAGUCCGGGUGGUGUACGGAUUGCACAUGGAAGGUGAAGGUGCGGGGAGGCUCAUGAAAGCUUUGUGUGGGUACGCACACAAUAUGGCGAUGAGUGACAAAGGGUGCGGCGGAUUGGUCGUUGAGGUGGGCCCGCGGGACCCGGUGAGAAAGGUGGUCCCACAUUGGAGGAGGUUUUCCUGGGAGCAAGAUAUUUGGUGCAUCAAGAAACUUGACGUAGAAGGAGAAGAGGGUGAUUAUGAGCCGUCCGAUUGGGUGACAUCUUCCGCGAAGUCGUCGCCAGUGAUUUUCGUUGACCCUAGAGAUUUCUGAUUUUGUGUAGUGAAACGAGAGAAUUUGGUUAGUUGUUGUAAAAUCCAGUUCAUGGAGUCUUCUUACCCGGCAAUCAAAAGGGUAACGGGGAAAGUAGAAGACGAUUUUAUAUUUCUUUUUAAUUAAUUUUUCGGUGCACAAAAAGGAUUUUUCGCAAUUUGUAAAUAAUAUCUUCAAAUUAUCAAAACAUUCGAAGUAUAUAUAAUCAUAGAAUUCACUAAAAAAUGUUUGAUAUGAGUGAUAAUUGUAUAAAGAAAAUUACUACUUAUUACAAGACAAUCCUAAUUACAAAAGAGUCUCUAAAUCUUAUACUCCUAACACCCUCCUCAAGUUAAUUAAGCUAAUCGGAUUGUAAAUGUUUAUGAGUCCAAACUUGAAUAAUGAUAAAAGAAAAGUCUUUUAGUAGUAGAAUCAUUGCUCGUAUCCGAGGGUGGUUGUUUGUUAAUCACGUUAAAAGUACGAUCAAAAUACACCAUUUUCAUUACAACAUUUUCUUUCUCAGAUAUUCCCCUCUUAAUUUUUGGGAGGACCUUGGUUGGUUCAAUAGAAAUUUUAGGGUGAAUACCCCUCUCAAUUUUAUCAGACAUUUUACAAUAUAACGAAUUGGUUUGAGUCCAGCCUAUUUGGAAGGAGUGUUGUUGAAGAGUAUAUGAUGAUGUUCAUAUAUAUAAAGGUAUACUAUAUUUUCUUAAUUGAUUCGUCUUAAUUUUGAGUUUAUGUGGAGUUUUUUUAAUACUUUUUGUUGAGAUUUUUUAUUGGUAUAUUUGAAAUAUAACUUGUUUUAGUUAUAACUUUUGGUUUAAUGAAAAUGAAAAAUUUAACGAAAAAAGAACGAUACCUCAUUAAACGGCACCACAUAGCUCGUAUAUUUCAUUGAAACGACAACACUUCAAUCAUAGGUAUUACAGAGCCAGUUAUAGAUAUGACUCACUUCCUGGAAACAUCAUCAUCAGACUAUUAGAGAUUGCAUUAUCACUUAAUUAAUCAAUGUCCACCUUCUGUUGUCACAACCUUGAUUCAUCAAGAAUGUAUCCGCCUUGAUUCAUCAAGCGUGGAGGCAUGCCUGCAAUUUGAUGUAUAAUAUGGUCGGAAAAAAAAGAAGGUCGAGAAAUCCCAAUCACUUAAAACAGUGCAGGGUUCCGCAAUAUAUAUGUCGAAAUUCGGUUCUCCAUAGUAAAAAAGUAAACAGUUAGAUAAAAAAAUGUUAGAAUUAAGCUUCGAUAUUAUUAUUUUGACCAUUAGCUUAACGGUCAAACGACAAUGUCAUUUUAUUUUAUAACGUUCUAAACUUAAUAAACGCUAAGUGCAAUGAUCAAUAACAUAAUUUCGUCAAUUGGGUGGGACUCAGUUAGUCAAAAUUCAGCCACGUGUCACGUAAUCCACAACUCCACCACCGCCGCACGUUCAAGUCAGAAAGCAAGACGAGGUGAGCUGAGCUGAGUAGAGCUUACUGAAGCGGACCAUGGCGCUUCCUAAAAUGGCUUCCUCGCCGAACUCCGUCUCUUCAAGUCAUUCCGGCCUCUCGAUCUUCCCCUCACCUCUCCGUAACUCAACUCCUCUCUCACUUGCGCCGUCGACAUCUGCCGCUCCGUGGCGCACGCGAAGUGGUGGCGGCAUUGGAGCACUCCUCCGGCAGAACAAUCGGCAAUGGCGGAAAUCAAUUAGAGCUCAAGCUGCUGUUACUCAAAGUAGCGGUAACGAUCCGAAGAGUGGUGUAGCCGUUUACAAGCCUAAGUCCUACGAGGUUCUCGCCGCCGAUGCCGCCAAUUCGCUGGCCUUCGCAAUUCAGGACGGCAAGCAAAGAAUGGAAAUCGAUUUUCCGUAAGUCUGCCGUUUCGCAAUUCUUGUGUUCUGACAUAAACUAAAGAGAUUGUAAUUUGAAUUUCUCGAUUUCUCUGCUAUUUCAGGCCCUUACCUAGCGACAUUUCUUCAUACAAGGUACCUUCCUGCUUACACACUUGCUUCCAAUUAUCCUUACAAUGCUUAACCUGUGUUGAUUCCUUCAUAAUGCUUUUCUUAAUUGUCAUUUAAUUUUCCGAUAUGGUUAUUAUUAUCCCAUUCGCCCUUUAGUGAGAACCAUGUGGAUGAGCUUAAACUUUGAGAAACAAACAUGUGUUUUAAUGUCGAGUACCUGACCAUGUGAAGGGGUCUUCAGAUGAGUUCAUCGACGCCAACAUUCAACUAGCAUUGGCUGUUAUCAGGAACCUGAAAGCGAGAGUCGAAACAAGAGCCUGCAUUGUAAGGCGACCAAUAGCUUGCAAACAAUAAAAGUUCAUUGUUUAAUGUUGAAUGUUCAUUCACAAUUCGAAUUAAAAAGAUGCCCUUUAUGUAUUUGUGUAUGCUUGAUUUCAGGUGUUCCCUGAUACGCCAGAAAAACGCAGGGCAUCUAAGCGUUUCGGAACCGCCAUUGACUCGGUAAAACCUCUUUCACUCGUUGGACUAUUCAUUUUAUGCAGCACAUAUUAUUGUGUCGCUAAAUCUCCUUUAAUCUGCCCUGGUGAUACUUUUUGCUUUGUUUUUUGAAUUCUUCUAGCGGCAUUUCCAUGGAUGUUCGCCCUCCCCCCCCNNNNNNNNNNNNNNNNNNNNNNNNNNNNNNNNNNNNNNNNNNNNNNNNNNNNNNNNNNNNNNNNNNNNNNNNNNNNNNNNNNNNNNNNNNNNNNNNNNNNNNNNNNNNNNNNNNNNNNNNNNNNNNNNNNNNNNNNNNNNNNNNNNNNNNNNNNNNNNNNNNNNNNNNNNNNNNNNNNNNNNNNUCAAGAAACUAUGAACAAAAUGGCGUUUAAAUUUGUGCACUACGUAUUGUAUGACAUGUACUUGCUAAAACUGCCUCCAGGUCGAAGGAAUAACUGUUGGUUCACUUGAUGAUCUCCCUAGUGGUCCUGUCGACAAUUUCUUCAAGUCUAUCAGGAGCACCUUAGAUUUCGAUUUCGAAGAAGAUAAUGAAGGUUAGUCCCACAAAGUAAAGUACUGGGUAAAAUUGUUCAUCAUUACUAACUUUUCCUGCUUAAAUUAUAUACUUGGAGCACUGGAGCUGUUUUACGUUAACUUUUUGAGCUGGUGCAUAUCCUUCUCCCUUUUUUCCUACUAUUAUAUAGCCGUUUCUUAGUUCAUGAUUCCACUUCCAUUCUCAGGUCGUUGGCAGUCAGAUGAGGCACCAUCGCUUUAUCUGUUUCUUAACUGCAGCACACGUGAAUUAUCUGGCAUAGAGAAGUAUGUGGUGAGUCUCUCUAGCACUUGAUAUCUCUUGAACCAGUUUUCUUGUAGCAUCUUGCUUCACUUGCUCGGUUCCUCCCUUUGGGUAUCUUGAACUUGAUUUCAUGUGUCUGAAGGCAUAGACAUGGUCUAUGGUAUUCAACAACUGAAUCAUCUGUUAUGAUAUAUAAUAUAGUUCCCUUUGUUUCCUUGACACCUUUUAAAUUCUCAAUUCCCGGAUGCAUGAAAUUUGCAGGAGAAAUUUGCUUCGGCAACCCCAACAGUUCUGUUCAAUCUUGAACUUGAUACGCUACGGUAUACAACUUUUAUCUUGUUUUCAUUGAUAUAUGUAGCGGCUUUGUUUACUUUUUUAAUCUGUGCUGAUGUACUAGUGAUCAAAUAAGUAAAUGCUUCCCUCUUUGUAGAGCUGACUUGGGUCUCUUUGGGUUUCCCACAAAAGAUUUGCAUUAUCGGUUUCUGUCUCAAUAUAUCCCAGUUUUCUAUAUUCGAAUUAGAGAUUACUCAAAGGUAACUAACUAAUCUUUGUUAAGUCAUCCUUCCAUUGUUUUAUGACUUGAUAUGUCAAUAACACGGUGCUCUUACUCAUCUAAGACAGUAGCAAUAGCACCUUACAUCGUCAACUACAGUGGCGCCUUAUUUCGUCAAUAUCCAGGUAUGAGAUGAAGCUUGUUUAAUUUAUCUGAAACACUCUUUUGAAAUACUCUUUUCGUUGAUUAACAAUUGUGUCUUCACUCUUCAGGGCCUUGGCAGGUUAUGCUCAAGCAGGCAGAUGGUUCUUAUGCUUGUGUAGCAGAGAGUAGUACACGCUUCACACUCGGCGAGGUAUAAAUCUCUUCCAGCCAAUAUGCAUCAGUUGAAGCAGUUGAAUACUAUGUAUGAUAAUGUUUUUGUGGACAAUUCUUCUCCAGACAAAAGAAGAACUAUUAAGGGUUCUCGGGCUUCAGGAGGAGCAGGGUAGCAAUUUGCAGUUUCUUCGUAGAGGUUACAGGGUAAUCUCAGUAUUCAUAAUUGGGUUGUCAUAUUGCUCUUUUAAAUCUUGUGAAGGAAAUGGCAUCAAUAUACUUAUUCCAAUACUGCAGGCUGCUACUUGGUGGGAAGAAGACGUUGACUUGGAAGAAUCUCAAGCAUGGCGUAGCUGACUAGCAACGGCAGCACAGGGGAUUCACUGGACCAACUGUUACAGGUUUCGCCGUUUCGGAAGUACAAAAUGGGUAGUUGGAGAUUCCACUUUUGUUUAUAUGAUUUCGUUUUCAUUUUUAUGAAAGGUGAAAUAACAUGGGGGGCUUAUGCUCUGUUGAAAAUAUAAUUUGAAUUCUGGAGAAAUUGUUGAAGAAAUAUAUCUAUAGAGAGUUAACCUUUUUUAUGUCUCGUUGUGCAAACUUAACAGUAGGAAUUUUUUUCCAAAAUGGAAGUAUGUAACCCAGAACGAAGCGAUAGAUCAUACAACAGGAGUUCUCCUAAUGUUCAAAAUCUGGCGCCGGCGGUCCCGAUGAAAACGUCAUAAUCCGAGGGUACUUCUGGCACCAGAGGAGGAGCCGGAACUGGCAGUGUGACGUCAGGCACUGGCGGCAGUGGAUCACUUUCAUCAACCGGCGGUGGUGAUAGUAUAACUGGAAAAUCUGGAGCCUCCGGUGUGAAGAAAUCGUCGGCAGCCGGUGGCGGAGAAGAGAAAACCGGUACAAGUGGAGUUGGAGUUACCUCUUCUGGCGGAGCUUGAUCUUGCUCUGGCGGUGUUUCGAACAUUGGCACUAACGGCGGAGCGGGUGUUGCAAAGCCGCCGCCUUGAUCCGGCUGCUGAUCACCAUCACCGUCAUCCGGCGGUGGCGGGGACAAGAAAACCAACGGUGGAACGGGUGUAAAUCCGCCUUGACCAUCCGGAUCCUGAUCGUUACCGCUAUCAUCCGGUGGUGGAGACAAGAAAACCAGCGGCGGAGGAGUGAAAUCCUGAUCACUCGGCGGCGGCUCGAAUUCUUCCGGCGGGUCAGGUGGCGUAUUAAAAUCAGGCACCAGCGGUGGGGAGUGCAUCGUGUAAUCAUCGUCUGCCGGGGGAGCAAAUAUGGGCACCAGCGGCGGCGGUGGUGCCAGGGUGACGCGGGCGGCGGCGGAGAAGGAACUAAAGGAGGCGGGGGAGGAGAUGCCGGCGGAGGGGGUGAUGGAGAUGGCGGAGGCGAAGAAGGCGGUGGAGAAACCACCGGAGUUGGUGGGGGCGAGGGAACCACCACAGGUGCAGGCGGAGGAGAUGGGACAAGCGGAAUGGGCGGAAGACGCGGUGCAAUAGGCGGGGGGGGGGGGGGGCGGUGGGAGGAUCGGCGCCGGGGGAGGAACCGUUGUUCCCGGGGGAUUGCGGCGGCGAGGUGCGGGGUUGAAAGGGUUAUCAGGAGAUGGAGAAGUAGGGAAAGGCCAUUGGCCACAGGUUCCAAAUAGGAAUUGGAAGAAUGGGUCGCAGUUACUUCUUCUUCCUCUUCCUCUAGUUCCUCCUCUGCCUCUUCCUCCUCUGCUCUGCUUCUCUGUUUCCACCCAGUUGCCUAGUGAUUGUGUUGCCAAGAGCAGAAAAGCUACUAAAAUGAAGCUUAUUUUCAUUUUGUGUGUUCCCUUUCUUUGAGAUGAUCACUUCAUAUUCAUUGGAAGUGUGGCCGGAAAACAUAAGAGUUACGAGCUGCAGCCAUUUCAGUGAUAUAUAUAUAGUAGUAUUAAGGUGGAUGGCAGAGGGAGUUUGGUGUAGAAGAUCAAUGGAGUCCAGUGGGCGAGCAUUGAUGGUGCAGAGCAGUGCAGUAAAUGAACCAACUGAUCAGAGCCGUAAAUGGAGACCGGAGCUCUUUCAUUUCGACUCCCAAUAGCUAAGAGGUGGUGUGUUUACUGCUUAGACUUCGUAAACGAUGCCGUAUGGGGGUGGAAAGAUGGGAAGUGUGGUAAUUGUUAGCUUGGUGUUUUGAAAGGAGUGUGUGUGAAUCGUCGACUGUCUUAAGUGGCGUUAAUGGUGCCUAGUUGUACGUGCCAUUUCUGGGUAAGAGUAGACUGCAGAGCAAGCAUGGAGUUAGAAGGAAGAGACUGAGGAGCUUAUUAAUGGCGUCUGAUCUGGUCUCCAUUGCAUGCAUAUCUCUUCACUGUUCCGCCACUCCACCUUGACUCCAUGUCAACUCGCCACCUGUCAUCGUCGAAUCUGCUAUCUGAGUUAGAUGGACAUGCAUGCAAGCUUUACUACAAAAGUUUGACAGAAAACUAUCUAUUGUUUGUUCUUAUAUGAAUGAAUAUUUUGGUACAUUUUGCUUCGAGAACAAAGCACAUUGCUCGGUCAGUUUGGUGUAAGGUCUUUCAUGCAUAGCAAAUCAUCUGAGGCAUGUGCCGGAACACACAACAACUACUCCAUUUGGAAAGGAUCAAUGCGCCAUAUUUCGGGAACCUCGCCACCAAACCAAUGUACACGCUAUGGAAAGCCAUUUUUGCACCAAAAUCAUGCGACCGCGCUCGAUCCCGACUGUUGAUGGUGAAGUAUAUUUGUCUAGGGCUAAGAUCUCAUAAAGUGGGCUGAUAAGUCACUCUAUAGGAUUGCAGUCGCACGUCAACUGAUGUGGAGGGAGCACCUCGGCGUUACUGAUUGAUGUAUCAACUUCUAUUAUUGUAUUAGUUAUUAGACUCUCGUAUGUUAUCACUUAUUUUGUAAAUGAGAAAAAGUAUAAUUGUUCAAUGAGAAAACUAUACACAAUGACAAAAAGUAUAAUUGUACAAAGCUAGUACACUACAAGUAUAACAUGAUUUCCCAACAAGCAGCUAGCGAUGUAAAUGAUUGAGUGCGACCCAUCCCAGUUGCCAAGUUUAUGAUCGUUUUGGGGGCAAAAUUACGACCGUGGAUCUUGAAUUUCCAGCAUUUUCAAAGGGCACCAAAUCACAUGAUCGCCAUGAUAUUGAUCCCACUUGUGCACACUAUUUUCUUGGUGAAAUUAUAGCAUGUGAUUUUUAGUAUGACAAUUUACAUGAAAAUGUACUUUUUCUGUUUUUCUUGGUGAAAUUAUAUCGCACUUUAUACCCUAUAUAUGACUGUUUGCAUAAAAAAUUAUUAAAUGAAUGUCCAUGUUCAUUUGGAUUCUUCGAGCACCGAGCAACAAAGGUCAAACCUUUACAGAAAAAAGUAAUCAGGUUAGCUAACCGCCACAUGAUAGUUUGUCAAGUUGCUACCUCACCCUUAUCUGAGCCUGAAAUUAAGUAUAAACUAAUCCCAAAAAUUAACAUAAUAUAAAGACGAAAAAACCCAGAAAACCCAGAAAAGACGUACUUACCUGUCCCUCUGAAACAGUACCUUUUAGUCUUUUCACACCCCCCCAGCCAGCCAGAUUUCCUUUUCCCCAAACCCACCACAACAAAGUUCAAAUUCAAAAGAAACUUCCCUUUCAUCGUCCCACCUUCCAUUUUCCCUCCUCUUCCUUCCUACUUUCUCCCUUUACCCCUCUCAAAUCUCCCCCCCCAUUAAGAACGACGAUGAACCUUCUUCCUCCUCUCUUCUUGUUGCCAUUCUUCUUCCUCUCCAUUGAUGCCAGGCCCGACGCCACUUUCCCCCCAUCCUCACUUCCUCCCAAUAACCAACCAGCUCCUCUGCUCUCCCCACAAACUGCAGCUUCAUCUCCAGGUUAGGAAUUCUGGGUUUGCAAUGCAGCUUUUCAAUUUGUCAUUUCAUCUGUCAAAGAUUGAAACUUUUAGGUUUUUUAUUUUCAAUGCAGAUAUGGGUUUGGUCAGAGUAGUAGUGCACGGCCAAGACUUGAACAAGAAAAUCCUCAUAGCACUGAUUGUAGCUUCCACUCUGCUGGGUGUGAUCUUGUUAACCCUGUCAAUAAAAUGGAUCUACUGGCUUAUUACCACCAAGGCCAAAAACAGGCCAAAUAAGUUAGAAGGUGGUGGUGCCAAAGGCUCUUCUUCCUUGGAUCCGAUUUCGGAUUCGUUAAGUUCGUUGAGGCUGGCUGGGAAGAAGAAGAACUCCAUUGUGGUUAUGGAGUAUAAGUUGUUGGAAGGUGCAACCAACUGUUUCAAUGAAGGCAAUGUGCUUGGGGAAGGUUGUCAUGGGCGUGUCUAUGGUGCUUAUUUUGACAAGAAGCUCUCUGCUGCUGUUAAGAGAUUGGAAGGUAGAGGGCAAGAUGUUGCGAGAGUGUUCGAGGUGAAUCAAUCACUUUGUCUGCAAAAAGAACUUAUCUUUGUUGCUGAUGGAUUCUGAAUUUUACCAUCUAUGUUUGGUGAUGAUUGUGUUUAUGCAGAAUGAGGUGAAGUGGCUGACUAAGUUUGACCAUCAGAACAUAAUUUCUGCGUUAGGCCACUGCUGUCACAAUGGAACCAGGUUUCUGGUGUAUGAAAUGAUGCAAAAUGGGUCUUUGGAGAGUCAAUUGCAUGGUAUAUAUUUGUCACAGAGUUACUGCAGUCAAGUUCUUAGCUUUAUCACUUCUUAGACCUAUGCUGUUAUAUUGCAAAUUCAGGAGCUACAAAUGGAACAACAUUGACUUGGCAUCUUAGGUUGAAAAUUGCAGUUGAUGUUGCUAGGUAACUGCUUAAAAAGCUCCAGUCUUUUCCUUCUUUUCUGUUGUUUCUUACUUCCUUUGAUGGGGUUUUCCUUUUAGGUUGAUGUUAUAACUGGUUGUCUAUUGUUGGAAACCCAGGGGGCUAGAGUAUCUUCAUGAGCAUUGCAACCCUCCAGUUGUACAUAGAGACAUCAAAUCAUCCAACAUUCUUUUGGAUUCUGACUUCAAUGCCAAGGUAAACUUUCAUAUCACCAAUCAAGGUUCAAUCUUCUAGAGUUUUGAAUUAUUGAGGAGGUUUUAACUGUUUUCUUUUUCAAUUAUCUCAGCUUUCAGACUUUGGGUUAGCAGCAACAUCUGGGAACCAAAACAAGAACAUAACACUUAAAGGAACACUAGGCUACGUAGCCCCAGAGUACCUUCUCCACGGUAAGCCUAAGUUCACAUUUCGGUACAUGAAACCGUUAUUUGUUAACGAAUUCUCUUAUAUAAACCAAUUUUGAACCUUCCCGGCAACAACUUAACUUAUAGGAUGCAACUGUUUCUCGGCAUGGUAUUAGUCUUUGACUAAAAGUCGUACUAUUGAAUCAUGUUAGUCCUUGAUAUCACCAUUUCACUUAUACAAGACUUGGUGGACCUGUGCAAACUUUAUUUCGGAUUUUUGUAGUCAGCCUACACAUGCUAUAGUCUCAUAGUCUUUCUUUAUCAAUUAUAUUGAGUGUCACAAUAUAGUAGACCGGUUACCUGGUUGGUUUAAUGUUAAUAUAUAAGCCAUAUUGGAAAUUUAUGAAUAGGGGUAAAUCUAGGGGAGCCUCUUUCAGACCAUUGUCCAACCCAUAUAUGAGUCUAGAGCUCUGACAUGACAUAAUUUUCCUUUUAUUUUGAGAUGAAUUAGCAUAUUUUUAUAUUUGGUCUAGUUUAUUUCAAAUUUAUAUAAUUUUUGAGUGCAUUGAAUCAUUUUGGACCCGGCGAUGUUUAUGAACCCUUUGAACAGGCGAACUGACAGAGAAAAGUGAUGUAUAUGCAUAUGGGGUGGUUCUUCUUGAGCUCCUGACUGGAAGAAAGCCAGUAGAGGAAUUGUCAUCAGAACAGUGCCAAUCAUUAGUGUCAUGGGUAUACUAACUACAUCUAUUCAAUUACUUGUGAAGUAACAAUUUUUUUCUCUGACACCAAUCUUUUGGAAUGCAGGCAAUGCCCCAACUCACAGACAGAAAUAAGCUUCCAGACAUCGUGGACUCGACGAUGAAGGAUAGCAUGGAUCUCAAACAUCUAUACCAGGUGAUUAUUGACAGAUCAUCAAGUAAUUAAUGCAACAGUUUGAGGAUUAACUUGUGACAUUAAUCAUAUGGUUGAAUAUUAAUAAUGCAGGUGGCAGCAGUGGCGGUGUUGUGUGUGCAACAAGAACCAAGCUAUAGGCCAUUGAUCACAGAUGUUCUUCACUCCCUCAUUCCUUUAGUACCUCUUGAGCUUGGAGGAUCUCUAAGGAUCAUUUACAGAGAUGAUGCCGACUAACGUCCUUUUCUUUCUCUUUAAUUUCCCCUUUUCCCCACUUUAAUUAAGUAGCACAGAUGUAAUGACUAGAUUACAACGACAAGAAUUAACGAAACUUCCAAAGACCUCUCGGCACCUUGUUUGCCUGUGUUCUAUUAAUACUACCGCUCAACAAGGUUUCUACUACUGAAAACAUCGCCUCCUUCCGGGAAACUGCAGACUGCCCGGCUUAGCUUUCUCUCUAUUCACUUCUCUUGCAAAUUAAUCACUAGAUAUUGUUUCUUACACUGUAUACUACUCCACUUUUCCCCCCCUUUCUUUUCGAUGAUUUAGACUGAUCUCAAUUGUGUUCUUAUUUAAUAAAUAUGAAUUAUGUCGCAUAUCCUACUUAGCCGCCACGUCACACAACAUGCUAGGUUGAUAAAAAAAACUUAACGUGAGACUUGUUUGUCAACAGUUGCAUAAUAAAAGGGCUUAAUUCGAGUAAAACAUAGUAGAGUGAUUCGUUUGUUAACUUUGCAUAAUACGAGGCUUAGUGUAAUAACCCUUUAUAUAACAAGAAGUCACAUUCCAUUAGUUAGGCGCAUACAUAAAUAAACUCAAUGUGAGAAAAAUCAUUCUCCCUCUUUUCCGAAAAUCAAAUGGCCAAUUUCGGCAACUGUUUUUGCAACAAAAAGAGCAAGGUAGUCCGGAUUGUAUACCCAGGCGGUCACAUCGAGCUCCACGACAAUCCUAUCCUCGCCGGAGACAUCAUGGCCAAGCACCCCAGAUUCACGGUGGCCCGCCCAGAAGUGUUCCGGCAGCCGUUAUCAGCGGUGGUUUCGCCGGAGACCACACUGAUGCUUGGCCAGAAAUUCUAUGCGGUCCCGACGAGUACCAUCAGGAAGCUUCAGAGGAAGUACAUUAAGAGUAACCCAUCAUCAUCGGCUGAAGGUCAUUAUCGUAAUUGUGUUUAUGAUAAUAGUAGUAAGAGGGGAGUUGGUUGCUUAAGCAACAUGAUUACAAUGAUGACCGGUUCGGGUCAUCAUCGUAAUCACGAUGUUAAUGACGAUCAUCGUAUGGUGCGGAUUGUUUAUAAUGGGAUCGUAGCUCCGACAGCAGCGGGAGCUUUGGAUCACCGGCUGGGAAGAGAUCACCGGCGUCGUCGCCAAAGAAAGGGAUGCAUAUGGAUUAUUACUGGACACCAAAUCUUGAAAGCAUCACUGAAUAAAUCAGCUAGCUAUAUGGUAGGGAUGUGAUUUUUUAUAAUUAAACGAGUUAUAAUGAAAUCAAGAUGGUAGAAUAUCCGUGAGUCUAAAAUUUAAUUGAAUAGACUAUCUCAAAUAUAAAUUUUCUAUUUAAUUCUAUAUUAGAUAGAAUUUCAUCACUAUAUAAUAUCAAAAUAAUAAUAAAAGUCCAACAUUAGUUUUAUUAAUGUGUGUAUACACAAUGCAUUGUGUAAUGUUUCUAUCCACAUUAUACUAUGUGUGUCACGAAUAUAGACAUAGUAUGCAUAUCAUAAUUAAUUUGUAUAUGCAUUUAUCCAAACAAACAUUAACUUUUGUAGGUGGUAUAUAUGGAUGUGAUACAUAGAACAAGCAUAGAGCAUGUUUGAAUCAUAUACACGUCUGAAAAUAUAUAUAGGACUACAUUAAAAAUGAAUUAAAAUGCGACACUUUCAACAUUUUUUAUUAAUCUUUUUUUUAUCUGCAUCCCACCAAUCAUAUUUCAUUUCCCUUAUUUUCUUUUUAAUUUUUCUCUUUAAAUUUGUUUUCCUUNNNNNNNNNNNNNNNNNNNNNNNNNNNNNNNNNNNNNNNNNNNNNNNNNNNNNNNNNNNNNNNNNNNNNNNNNNNNNNNNNNNNNNNNNNNNNNNNNNNNNNNNNNNNNNNNNNNNNNNNNNNNNNNNNNNNNNNNNNNNNNNNNNNNNNNNNNNNNNNNNNNNNNNNNNNNNNNNNNNNNNNNNNNNNNNNNNNNNNNNNNNNNNNNNNNNNNNNNNNNNNNNNNNNNNNNNNNNNNNNNNNNNNNNNNNNNNNNNNNNNNNNNNNNNNNNNNNNNNNNNNNNNNNNNNNNNNNNNNNNNNNNNNNNNNNNNNNNNNNNNNNNNNNNNNNNNNNNNNNNNNNNNNNNNNNNNNNNNNNNNNNNNNNNNNNNNNNNNNNNNNNNNNNNNNNNNNNNNNNNNNNNNNNNNNNNNNNNNNNNNNNNNNNNNNNNNNNGGUAGAAUCCUAAAAAACGAGUAGCUCAUGUAUUACCGCGACACCAGAUAUAGUAGAUUGUAAAUCCUUAGGCAAAAUCCUAAAAAGUGAGUAACCCGUGCAUUACCGCGGCACCAGACACAUUAGCCUGUAAAUCCUUUAAUAUCUUAAUGUGAUUUUAUAAAUUUAAGAAUCAUGUGUAAUUUGAAUGAUAAUUUUAACUAUUGUUAUGGUUACUCAACCAAACCCAAAACGAGUGAAAGAAAGUUAAAUUGGUAGAGUACUUUUAAGUUGUGUAUAAAUACAAAAAUUAUUAACACGUACGGGUAAGACGUGGACAGUAAAAUAUCAUCUGUUAAACCAUAAUUAAACUCUAAAUGUUCAAUCAAAUUAUUAUUUUGGUUAAGUCACGACCGUAGCCCCACGCAUUACCGCGGCGCCACUAAGCACAUUAGCUUGUUUCUCAUAUUUUAUUUGGGGAAGGUUUUGAAAAAGAGAAAGGUGUUCGUGAGAUAAUUGCAGGGAGCCCUUCAUAGUUUGACGUGAAGAUGAGGAAAAAUCACAGUUGCAAGAAGAGCUUAAUGAGUGGAUAUGUUCAUUAGAGUUAUCUAGACUUUAUCUCCUACAAUUCCGAUAUAAUUGCGAUUCGAUCGCAGUUUAAUUAUGAUUUAUAAUGAUUUAAAUGGAAAAUACUUAACGGUAAACUAAACUCUUCACAUCCACAUAUAUAAUGGCUCAUAACACAAUUAACUUACAAAAACCCUCAAUUGAUCCAUUAAAAGAAUCUUGAAUGAAGGAUCAUAUUAUAUGAGUUUAUGUUUGAUAAAUAUGUCCGAUUCAAAUCGAAUCAACACAAUCGAUGUUCUGAAUUAGUUAAGCCAUAAUAAUCGUAACCCUAUUAACUUCUAAAAAAAUGACAUCAAACGGCUUGUUAAAAGAAUCCUAAACGAUUGAUCAUAUCAUAUGAACUAUGCUUAGGUUUUAAGGAUUUGUCCAAUUGAAAUAGACUCAAUGUUGAUUAGCUAGAUCGGAAGAGCGGUUCAGCAGGAUGCGUAACUCGAUUAACUUACCAAAACAGAAUCUUAAUUGGCCAAUUUUAAAAAAACUCGGAUUAAAUCAUUUAAGAUUUUUUUAAUGUCGAUAAGAUAUAUGUUAUUAUAUGCUAUCAUUAAGAAGAUAUAUGCUAUUAUAUAUUAGGAUGAAUCGUAUCAUAGGCCCGUUACAUGGUUAAGGAACAAAUUUCUUAAAAGUUCUUGAAUUUUGUUUAUCGUAUAGUAGAUUUCAAGAAAUCAUAGAAUGUAUUUUUUUUGAAAGUACAUCAUAGAGUGUAUAUUGGUCGAACUCUUUUAGAAUCAUUGAGUUUGUUAGUCGAACUUUAUUGGGUCGUUUCGGUGGGUGAUUUGGAUAGGUGAUUUGGGGUUAUUUGGACCUCCAAAGAGAUUCCGUCUCAAAUCACCCGUUUGGGACAUAAAAAAGAAAAGAUAUUUGAUGAGAUUUGAAAUCACCUUGUGGGCCUGGAGAGAAUUUCGUGGGUGAUUUCAAAUCACCUAGGAGAGGUAGAGAUUUCGGAGGAGGGAGGGGAGAUCUGAAAAUUCUUACCAAAUUACCCUUAAAAUCACUUUCUAAUUUUGAGUAUAAAGGGUAUUUUAGUCGUUUUCUUUUUUUCACCUCUUUAUUGAACUUUAUCUUUCUGUAAUAAUUGCACUCAAAAUCACCCAUAGAUCACCCAUCAAUAUUUAUUUAUUUAUAACCAUUAUAACCUUUAUUUGUAAGUAACCGUCGAUGCACGCUUAGCCAGGAAAAGUGCCAAACUCGGUGUGGGCCUCGCUAGUUCUAAAUCAUGCGCCAAUCCACUAAAGGGCCGAAUCGUGCUUCGCGAGGAUCUCAUAAGCAGAGCGAAUUCUAAUAAAUCAUUAUUUUACACAGNNNNNNNNNNNNNNNNNNNNNNNNNNNNNNNNNNNNNNNNNNNNNNNNNNNNNNNNNNNNNNNNNNNCUGAUUAUGUUUUGCAACAUUCAAAACUUAACUAAUAAUUUUUUAAUUUUGGUUUAAAAGUUGAGGUUUUGAUUUUGAAUAGAAACGAGUAAUCAAGUCAUUAAGCUUUUACUAAUAGUCAUCAACUAUGAAUUAAGAAACAAAUGGAGUGAUUUAAAGAGAGAACUCGAGAUGAUUUUUGGUGUGUAUUUAUUUCCUAUUUUUGAUCCAAUUUUAGUUUAUUAGUGGUGUUAUAAUAUACUUGAUAUUUCCGAGAACAAAAUGAUUAUGAAUGAAGAUUUUGGACACAAACAAACAUGUAGAGAUAAUAAAUUUAAGAAUGCUUUACUGCCAUGAAUGAAAUAAUACAUUUUCUCAAUCACCAACGAUUGUUACAAAUAUGUCCAAUCUCAUACACGAUUGGAUUAUUCCUUUAAAAACUCAUAACAUCAAUCAUUAAAGAAUUAGAAACAAAUGUAUUCUUUUAUUCUAAACCACUCCUAAUAACCUCUGGUUGAUCAAUGAGUCGAAUGCACUCAAAACUUCUUAGGAACUUCAAAGCUCCCCACUCAACGGCAAUCUGAAACCUCUCAAUCAAUCAGCUUAGUUGGCAUGUUGUCCCCAAAAUCAAUCAAACAGUGUAAUGCUGUUGGAUUGUCUCAAUGUCCAAUCCCUUUAGCUUCACCACAGACUCAACAUGUCCCUUCAAAGUGUGGAGCUCCCUUAGCCUAGCAACCUCGGCGCGCCUCUUUGCUUGCUCUGCGAUCUCCGACAGUUCCCUGUAGUUGGUCUUGUCGUUGAAGAGCUGAUCUGCGUUCUCUGGGGGCUGAAGUCCGUGGAGGGUGCGUUGAUCUGCCGCCCAUUGAGCCUCCCUCUCGCCUUUUCCGAAGUCGUUCUUGUUGUUGAAAGCAGUCUGAGGUUUUCACAUGUUAGUUCUUCCAUUAAUGGUAUACUUGUUCAUCAAGUAACACAUUGUUAAAAAAUACUUACCCUUCUUUGAGUAACAUUGUCCCAGGCUUUGCCGCUCAAUGCGUAUCGGAUGAUGAACUUAAGGACGUCGAGUGGAAUGUAGAAUAUGAUGCUGUAAAGCCAGAUGACUCCUGCCCAUCCCCACCCGAUUCCCUUCACCCUUGCGAAUUCCCAGUUGGCAUAUACCGCAAUAAGUGUUGCAACCUUGCAAACAAAAUUGUAAAUGUCAGUCCACGAGCCUAUCGAGAAAAAGUCGCUACUAUGUAUCAAAGUCGUGAAAUUUACCAAUUGGGCAACAAGGAAUGCGAAUAGAAGCAUUAAUCCAGGGCGUUCGACAAAGGACCAGCUUCUUGAUCGGGUGACAAAGAUGAGUGCUUGGCUCACAAUACUAACUUGCAAGUACAAAGCUGAAGUCAACUCAUCUGGGUUGUUCCUAAUCGACCUCACAUGGAACUUCUCCGAGAAAAAGUCAGAGCCGUAAGCACCAAAGAAGAAGAUGACUGUCAUUACAGCCAUAUAAGUACCCAACACAACACCAGUAGCGAAGAUCUCCUUAAGCUUCCAUGAAUCAGGCAUUGGAGACGGCUUUACCCUAUCCUUGGAGAUAGUCAUGAUUGUGCCGUCAUUAAGGAUGGCAAUGAUGAGAACCAUGAAAGGGGAGAAGUCAAACUUCCAGAUGAGUGCAAUCAACAUGAAUCCAAGCACAAUACGGAUUGUGAUAGAGACUGCAUAGAUUGUGUAGUUCUUCAUCCUCUGGAAGAUGGCCCUGCUGGUUAGCACAGCGCUGACAAUCACACUGAGUCCAGGCUCGGUGAGAACGAUAUCGGAGGCACCCCUGGCUGCAUCAGUAGCAUCUGCCACUGCAAUUCCAAUGUCGGCUUUCUUUAAUGCUGGAGCAUCAUUCACACCAUCUCCAGUCAUACCACAUAUGUGUUUCUUGUCCUGAAGCCUCUUCACGAUUUCGUACUUGUGUUCCGGGAAGACUCCAGCGAAUCCGUCGGCCUUCUCGAUCAACUCGUCAACCGGGAUGCUUGCAAUUGACUCGUCCUUGUGUUGGCCAAGAAGUGCUGAGGAUGGGUACAUGUUGGUCCCCAUACCAAGCCUACGUCCAGUCUCUUUUCCGAUGGCCAGCUGAUCACCAGUGAUCAUCUUGACAUUCACACCAAGAUGGAGAGCACGUCUGAUUGUCUCAGCACUAUCGUGUCUUGGUGGAUCAAAGAGUGGCAAGAGACCAACGAAUUGCCAUGGUCCUCCAGCGCUUUCCUUUGUCUUCUCUGGCACAGUCUGGAAAUUUGAACAAUGGGAUAUCUUAAUAUGUGUGACAAUUAGUAUUGCUAACCAAGUAAGGAGAUAUAGAGAAAGGAACUCACUUGGCGACCGACAGCCAAUGAACGCAAGCCACGAUCAGCAAACUUGUCAAUGAUGGAAAGAGCUUUCUUCUUGACAUCAGGAGAAAGAUUGCAAAGCUCAAUAAUUUGCUCUGGAGCACCUUUGCUAGCUCUAUGCCAGUUUCCUUGCCCGUCAAUGUAGGUGAUAGCGGAACAGUGGGCAUGGCAAUGGGGAUUCCUCCAAUGAGAAGCACCAAGAGAUUGUCGAUUCCAUCUCUGUACCUCCUGUGUUGGAUUGGGUACAUCACUAUGAUCUCAACAAGCAUACCCGCAGCAAUUGAGCAUAUACAAAAGUUUCCAAUUGCUGUCAACACCUGCGUAAUUAACAAAAAAAAAUAUAUUUAGGCAAUUUAUCAAACAUUUGGUGGGCAUGCUAUUUUUUCACAUAUUAAUUAAUCUUCCCUACCUUUUGGAAAUGUCCUUCGUUGUUGGUGCUAUCCACGAGGUGAGCUGCCUUACCGAAGAAGGUGUGAACUCCCGUGGCUAUAACGACGGCUUCAAGCUCACCCUGUUUACAAGUGGAGCCGGAGAAAACUUCGUCGCCGGAGUUUUUGGUCACAGGCAAGGACUCUCCGGUGAGAGCAGACUGAUCGAUCUUUAAAGGAUCACCUUCAAGGAGACGCGCAUCAGCUGGGACGAUAUCUCCCAACUUGAUGCUGAUCAUAUCUCCAGGAACUAAAAGAGCAGCAUCUUGCUCAGCCCAUUUCCCAUCUCUCAACACUUUCGUCUUGGGAGCCAGUCCUGCCAUGAGAGCAGCUGCGGCAUUUCCCGCGUUGUUUUCUUCGAUGAAACUGAUAGUCGAGUUGAUCACCAGGAGCGUCACGAUUCCGACGAAAUCUUGCCAAUCCGGUGGUUUCCCCUGAAAAUCAAACACAUUUAGUCAUAGAGAAACGAAACAAAUCAACAGUAGAAAUAAUAUGGUGUUUAAUCAAUUACUCCUCCGUUGGCCAAAGCAAUAGCCAUAAUGGCUGCAAUCUCCAUGACCCAUGACAGAGGAUUCCACAUGAAUCCAAGAAAUUUGAGAAAUUUGUUCUCUUUCUUCUCUUCGAGCUUGUUUGGCCCGAAGAUCGCCAGCCUUUUCUGUCCUUCAUCGGCCGUCAGGCCGCUCCUCGAGCAUUGCAGCUGCUGGAACACUUCCUCCACCGGAAUGCGCUCCUAUAUAUAAAAAAGAAUACACAGUAAAAAUCCAUCAAACACCAUUUUAGAACAAAAAAGACACCAAAUGUAGAUUGAUGGGAGAACUCACAAGGUCGACAUUCUCAUUUUUUAUUUCUUCCAGGCCGAUUGCCAUCUUUGCGUUUUUUCACCUUUAUCUGAACCAGAGCUCUGUAAAUUUUUAUUCAAAAAGUUACUUUAUUACUGGGGUGAAUAAUGAAAAGUUAACUCUGCUUAUUUAACUACAGAAGAGAGGAAGAAGAGAGAACAGGUAAAUAAAAGCACUUGAGAUGUGGUGAAGCUGUUUGUAUUCUGUGUCCUUUUUUUAUAACUCAAGCAGUAACUAAGUUUAACCGUGGUAAUUUUUUUAUCCAACUCAGUCUUCCCAACCAUGCGAACUACUUGCAGUUCUUUGUGGCUUAUCAUUUAACUCCCCGUUUUUUACUCUUUUGACUCAUUCUUUUUUACUAUUUAUUGGGUUUUUUCUAUUUAUGACGCAUAUUUUCAAUUUUUACUGUUUUGUGGUAACUCUACUUUUACUCUUCAUCUCUUGUUCUUAAUUUUUGUUACAACCCGACACGUUAUUACUGUUUGUUUUUUUUAUUUUUUACCAUACAGAUGUCUGGCUGCUUGCUGCUAGAGUCAGUUGGCCACGGUGUUUACAAUUUUUAUUUCUGUAACAAUUCUCUACCCGUUAGUGGAGUUAUACAAUAAGUAUGUUGUGGUAUAAAAACAGUCUAAUAUUUUAAUUUNNNNNNNNNNNNNNNNNNNNNNNNNNNNNNNACUCGUACCUUUAUACACACAUAACCUUGCUGAAAAUUGCACUUACGAAUGUACAACCUUCGUGUUCCAAUUUUUGUUUAUCUCGACAAUGAUGUGAAUUCAUAAAUAGAAAAGGUACUUAUUUCACUAAUUUGACUCACCAAUUUGUCUCACCACUUAUAAUGUUACCUUAUGAAAAAGUAUGAAAGAUAAUAUUUUUACAUGACGUGAAUAAAAUAUAUAUGAAUAAUUGAUAAUUGGUCUAAAAAGUUAGCAUUCACACUUGAAUAAUAAGAUAACAAACUAAUUCUCCCAUACUAAAUACUUCUCUUAAAUAUUCCAAAAAUCAUCGUAAUUAGUUUUGUGCAACUUUAUGUUAAUCAAUGAUCCGAUAAAUUCAAAAUAUAACUCAAUUGAUUGAUUGAACGGGAUAAGUAAAAAAAGAAGUAAAACACAGCCACCUUCGGAGAAGAAGCCAUGUAAGUAAGGGUCAACUCUACACGUUUGCAGAUUGAAAUAAAAUUUUGGCUCCGCCUCUAACUAUUAAUGAAAAAAAGUAAAAAAAGAGAACGGAUCGAUAAAAUUCAAACGGAUCAUCUAAAACAUCGAUCGCGUAUAUAUGAGUGGUCAUUUCCCCGCUCGAUUUAAUUUAGCAAACUACUCCUCAAAACAGGACAUAAUGUUCAAACAUGCCGAUGUCGUAUUUUUUGGGUAUUUCUAGAUACCCUCGAAUGGACUUUCGAAACUGUGCAGUCCAGUUUCAGAUGAUAGGAUAUAUAAACAGCCACCUUGGGAGAAGAAAGCCAUUUAAGAAAGGGACUCUACACGUCUGCAGGUUUGAACAAUUACAUCCAUCCACCACUUUUGACCAAAUCGAUACAAAUUUACGAACUUUGUCAUGAUCGAUCGGUACAUCCAUCCACCAAGUCUUAACUCUUAAGACAGCAAAGAGAUUGACAAUAUUGUCAAGUGGCUAGCGUUCCAAAUUCGAUGCUGUAUGCUGAGAGCUUGCCUCAGAGUCAUAACAUCAAACGGUAGAAAAGUCUUCAUUCGAUGCUUAAUGCUGUUUCUCAAGUUUCCAGUGAGAGCUUCUUUCUUAUUUCCUUAGUCACCAAGGAUUCAUCUCCUGGCCUAUAUAUAUACCCAUUUCUUCAACCAGUACAAUACACACCUACCUCAGUACUUCAAUACUUCUACUCAUCGUUCCCCAACACAAUCUCCCAUACAUUUUCUGCUCAUGGUAAGAUACUAUUUUGAUUACUUAUUGUUAACACUCUGGUUCUUUUUCUCCUUUGUCGGUGAAGUUUGGUGAUGAUUAACAAAUUAUACCGGUUAAAGGUAUUAGUGGUACGGGAUUUAAUGGUUCAAUCUAAUAAGGUGUCAUAUUAGACACAUUAUCAAAACUCUUGAGUACGCUCACUAUCAAUACGUUAUGUUGAUGUAAACACCAUUUUAUCGUAGAAAUCGAUUGAACAAUGGUCUAGUUCAACAAUGGUCCAUUUUCCCUCUCUUUGUUUUGUUCUAACUUGCUAUCUUGCUUGUUUCCAAACACAUUUGGGAUCCUGGUUGGACAAAUAUCAGGCUGUCCAAAUUGAGGUAUAUACCUAAAGUUCCAAUUCCAUCCAUCUAUCUCCUCCUCCUGUUUAAUUUCAAUCUUAAUGAACAAGAUUCUAAGUGUAUGUAAAUGUAUGGUGCAGAAAACCUUUUUCCAAGCUUCAGAGAGGGUCAAGUCAGUAGAUUUCCAUACAUCUCAGCCGUGGUACGUACUUAAUACUUUCUAGGCUUGGCACUCGACCAUGUGAAAAUGCAGUUUUAGGGAUCAUAUAAAACUGAACCGGUUACUGUUCGAGCAAAAUGGCAAUCAGUAACCUUUAGUGACCCAAGCAUAGUCUCAUAAUUACGGUGCUUGGAACUGCAUUUCUUGUAGUAUAUGCAUGAAAUUUAUGAUCGGUUCUUUGAUUUUUUGUAGGAUUUUGUCGAGCUUGCAUUCAGGACAGGUCUGCAUUUGGAACUUCCACACUCAGGCACUGGUGAAGUCCUUCAAGGCCACGGAUUCCCCAGUUAGAACAGCCAAGUUCAUUCCAAGGAAGCAGUGGAUUGUGACAGGAUCCGACGACGGAAAGAUCCGGGUCUAUGAUGAAGAUUCCUUUGAGCUUAUUAAGGAGUUUGAUGCUCACCAGGAUUUCAUCAGAAGUGUGGCUGUCCACCCCACGCUUCCGAUCUUGAUCUCAGCUUCUGACGACAAGGCUGUGAAGCAGUGGGAUUGGGAGAAAGACUGGGAAUGCACUCAAGUCUACGAUGGACACUCGCAUUACGUGAUGCAGGUUGUGUUCAAUCCACUGGAUGCCAAUACAUUCGCAACUGCAUCACUUGACAACUCCGUUAAGGUACAUACAUCGUAACAUCCCGACAAAAGCGCUUUUAACUUUAGAGUUCUUAUCAAAAAAAAUUUUGGCUGCAGAUAUGGAAUCUUGGAUCCCCUGCUGCAGUUGGGUCGUUGGACGGACACCUGAAAGGAGUGAACAGUGUGGAUUAUUUGGUCUCCAAAGAUGAUCACAAACUGUACCUUCUGAGUGGCUCUGAUGAUUUCUCAGUUAAAGUCUGGGACUUGGAAACAAAAACUUGCGUCCAGACUCUGGAAGGCCACACGAACAACGUUUCAGCAGUGGCUUCCCACCCGGAGCUCCCAAUCUUCAUUUCCGGAUCCGAAGAUGGGACCAUUAACAUCUGGGAUGCCACCACUUUCAAGUAAUCAAUCAUUCAACUUCUCACAGCUAAUCCGGGAUUUCGUUUACUCUUCUGGUACUGAUGUAUGAAUGAAUAAUCAUUGUUUCAUUUGCAGAGUUAUCGAAACUUUGAACUACAGCCUGGAAAGAGUGUGGGCUGUUGGGUACAAGCAUGGCUCAAAGCAGUAAGUGUCUCAACUAAUCAUUACCAUAGUCAAUCUUCCAUCUGAUAUUUUGGUUCAGAAAUUAACAUCUCUUUUUUUGGCAGGGUGGGAUUUGGGUUCGACAAAGGGACUGUUAUGGUGGAUGUUACCAGCCUUUAGUUUCCCCAGCAACUGCUGCUGCUGACUUGGCCAUCCUACUACUACUGUUUUCUCUCUAUGUUUAGUUACUUUCUGUGUGUGUGUUUGUGUGUUGGAAUAAACUAUCAGAUGCUAUCUAGUGUUGUCUUUCUCCGUGUUUCAAUGGCGAUAUGCGAAAGCUUCUACAAUUCGUGCAAAUUUCAACACUUAUGGUUCAAAUGUUUUACUCCUUACAACUCUAAACCGAAACUGAUCUCUAUGGACAACCAAUGAACAAACAAGCGCAUGCAUACACACAAAAAAUCCAAUGUAAGGAUUCAUUUCUCCUAUCUCUGCGAAAUGGCGAGCUUCCGUAAAAUCUCUCACCCCAAGUACAGCAGAAGAAGCACCUUCUUCACCUUCUGCCACUCGUCGCAGCACGGGGCUUUGCUUUCACCUCCGACUCCUGCACCAUUUUCAGCAACAACAAAAACAUAUCAUCACAGUCGACAUCUCCAGUCUAUGGUUUAGCAAAAGAGUAAAUGAAAUAUUGCACCCACCUGUGGCAAAUGGAGAAAGAUGCUGGUUUUUGCCGUUGCUGGAUUGUGGUUUUCAGCACCUUUGCUCCAGUCAUAACAAACCUGAAGCACAAAUGAUCGCAAGUACAUCAACACACCAAAUUUACUCCUCUUAGAUUAUGAUGCUGACUGGUCAAAGAUAUCAGAUACAUACCGCAUAUGCGUAUAUAGAGCCAUCAUUGUUAAAUGCACUGCAUGUUAUUGGCUGAUUGCACCUUGACAUAGCCUACAUACAUGAUAAACACAACAAAUUAGAUAUUAUGAUACUGUUCAACCAAACCCCAGAAUCUGAAAAUGAAGCAUCACAUUCAUCAGGUUCCAUUACUAGAUAAACAAGUGUAUACCUUUACGUCCAACCCCUGAAAUAAAUUAUAUCAGUCACAUCCAAAAAUAAGUGUCUUCCCUCAAAUCAGGGUUAAAAGGAUAUAGACAUUGGUGAUUUCCUAGUACCAUAAAAGUUGAAAAGGAGAAAACUAUCGAGCUAUCGAGUCUUGGGGACUUGUGGAAAACUAGCACAAACCUUUAGCCUCUGUUUGCUGUCCUUAUCCCAGAAAUUAAAAGCACCAUCAGAUCCUGCUGUUGCAAACGUAUGGUGCACCUGGAUAUGGAGAAAUAAGAUUUCAAACUAAUGUCAGAAAAGAAAAGCUGACAUCAUAUACUAAAUGACUUACUACUUCGUUGAAACAACAAUUCAAAACUCAUGAGUAGAGAGGUAAAGAGUACGAGAAUUAAAUGUGAAAGAUCUUACCGGAUGGAAGUUCAAGGAGUUCACUGAGUAGAUGUCAUUUGAUUCUCUGUGGCACUUAAAAGUGAAGUUUUUACCCUGCUGAGCAUCAUCAAGAUGGUGUACACCAACUCUUCCUUCUAUCGAACCAACCUGCAUGAGUAUCAGUUACACAGUUGAACAUAUUAUACUUUGCUCUUGAAAUAAUUAAGUUGUAUAACGAGAAGAAAGCAGUCAUAAUAACAGUUGAGGUUCCGAUUUGCACAAUCAUGGCACCAUAACAUAGAUACGAUUGGCCCAUCACAUCGAUACGAUUUAAAUGGUUCGAAUCAAAUCUCUAAGAGCCUAAUAUUGGCAAAUUUUUAGGUUCGAAGGACAUCCCAGUAAGAAUAGAAAUGACGAUGAGAAACUUAAAUGCAUACCAAAAAUCCUUGCUGGUCAGGGAAUGCAGCUACACAUCUUGUCUGAUACUUCAGUGGCGAAGGAAUUCUCUUGAAUUCGGCCUGUCAAGAUUGCAAAUACAUAAAUAAGAACAAAGUACGACAUUAAAUUAGAGAAAACAAUAGAACUCCUGAAAAUCCACUAUUAAUCAUAUACUGAGUUCUCCCAUGCUGCGUUACCUGUUAGUAGUGAGUGCAUAAAACCAAUUUUACCUACUUAUCUUUUGAGAGCUAGUGCAACUAAAAAAAGGGACAAGUUACCUGAGGAUUUUGCAGGUUGAAGACUACGAGGUUCCUGUCUGCAGUACCCACAACCAUAAGUGGGUGGCGCACCGACAUAGAAUAACAACGAUCAGGAAGCUGCUGAGUAUGAACUGGAUUUGGCUGUCUCGUAUCCCAGUAUCUGUUUAUAUCGUCAGAUAAAUCUAGCCAUUAGAUUCAUAUAUUAACUAGUAAUAAGUGUAUUAUGAAAGAAAAUAAACUACUUAGCAACAAAGAAUAAGAUCAGAGAGAGCCUUACUUCAAGGUCUUAUCCCAACUGCCUGACACUAAGAGGCUCAUCUCAGGGAUCCAAGCUACUUCUUUAACUGGUGCGUCAUGCAUGGCUACAGUCACAGCUUGGCCUCCUGAGAGUAACGGCCACAUCUUAACUUGUUUGUCACAGCCGCCGGAGAAAACAGUAGUUCCAUCAUCCUUCCAGGCAGAGCACAACACCUAAAAACACAACAAAAGGCAGCAAGAAGAAGAAAUUUCAUUAGAAUUCCAAUAGAAAUUCAAGCAAUAGGUUUAGACAAUGGUUUGACAUCAAGAUAUUACCGGCUGGUCAUGUGACAUUGAUGCCUUGGGCGCACUAGUUGCAGUGCUGGCAUUCCUUGAGAUUUCCCAACAUCGCACCUGCGUCAUUAUUCUAGAUUUGAGAAUGCUAUAACAUUUGCAUACAAAAACUAGAAAGAAAACGAUUGUAGCAUUUGGUUAAAUGCUUGGAAAUUGAUUAAUAAGUUUUAGGCACAUUGUUCCUCCUUUGAUGAAAGAUGAAGUUACAUUAAAGGUGAACAACAGAUCCAUGAAAGGGUACAGGUAUACGGAAAAGACAGCAGAAACAAUAGAACUUCUCAAUCAGGCACAUUGUUCCUUUGAUUAGUUACUCCAUCAGUAAAUUUCCAGGAGCUCAACAGGGCGGAAUCAGAGUAAUAUAAACCAGAAAAUUUGUAACAAAAACGUAUUUGAGUUCGAGAAACCUGAUUAUCCCACGAAGUAGCCACCAAGUGGUUUGCCUUAGGACUGAAGCAGAGACUGGAAACGGAGUCCGUCGGGGGCUGAAUCACCUAAAACAACAUCCAAACAAGACGGAUUAUUAUAAGGAAUAAGGCAAGCAAUCCUAAAAAUAAAGCGAACAUCUCUUAAACCCUAAAACAAGAAUGUCACAUUUUGCAAAACUUGGCAUCUCAGAUACAUACACGCAGCAAAACCUAGUUCAAAACUAACAGCAACAAGAAAAAGGACUAUCAAGCUUAUUGAUCACAGAAAGACGUAUACUAGGUAGGGGAAUGGGUGAAAGCUUCUCCGAAGUCACAUUAUAUCGAUACUUAACCAGCGGAUAGAAAUGCCGAGGUAAAGAAGAGAUAGGAACGAGGAAUUUACCUCAAAGGAUUUGUUCGGAUUAGUGUUUCCGGCGGAGGCUGCACCGAAGGUCGCCAUUAGAGACGGCAGGGGAGUCCCAAGAAGAUGGCAGGAAUCAACGAAGCUUAAUCGAGUUUGGGAAAAUAAAGGGAGGGAAAUCGGGAAUGAGUCUCGAGAAGUUGCUGUCAACGGCAAAUAUAUGACACAGAGUGGGCGUACAGUUAAAGUCGACUUUGUUUCACUCGCGUACCGUUAAAGUCCGACUUGCAGCAAACGCGACUCCUCCUUCAGAAGAUGGGCCUAACGGCAAGAGCAACAGAGACAGCCCAUUCAAAUGAAAUGGGCCUAUUUGAUUUUAUUUGGGCCUCCGCCCAGUAUGUUUUCCAUUGCUUGCCUCUUUGAAUUUUGAAACAACUUCGAAGCUUUCUGAAAUUCGAUUCCAUUCCGAAAACAAAUCGAAGAAGAGACGCGGCGGCGACGACUACGACUACAAGACCCGCCUAAGACUUUAAAUACUUGUUCUGUAUUGAAAGGAAGAUCCUGUACUUGCUCCCCUGCGGGAACAGACUCCGAAGUUUAACCACCUAUAGUGAUGAUCCUUUAGAAUUCGAGUCUCCUGUCGAGAAGUCAUGGCCUUCCGGAGUUGCUGAUCGGGAAAACAUGGCAAGUACGAUGUUUCGCGCUAGGCUUACCUUGGCGCGAUUGAAGCACCGUCAACUCUGCACCGGCACAGCUAAGCCCAACAACAAGAAGAAGGGAAUCGGUGGUGACAAUGGCGGUGAUGGUAACAAGCAACCGUCGAGUGUUUCCAGAUACAAUGAAACGUACAGCCAGCUGGGAAAGCUCGACUUUAUGACAGCCGCCAAGAUCCUCUUCACUGAGCCUCCAAAGAAGAAGUUUGGGUAACUUUAUCUCUCUCUUCUUAUGGUCGAUCAGAAGUUGUUGUUUUCCUAUUUGGUGUUGUUUGGGUAACUUUGAGACAUUUUGUCGAACACGUUCUGUGCUCGUGACUACUGGUAAAAUUUUAAAAUGUGUUGAUUGUUUCCCGUUGAGAACAUAGUACAUUGCUGCAUUAGAUAUUGGUUUGAUUCAGCUGUCAUUUCAUACUUGUUUCUCUUGGUGAUGCUUCCUAGUGAUGGAUCAAUUUGUUCCGACUUGUAGCUUAGUAGGUUAUAUCUCUGCAUCAAGAAUAUGGUCCGCUUGCAUCGACUGAUCUGAGAAUGGUUCCUGCUUUUUGUAAAUACAUGCUAUUAGAGGCAUGCCUGAGUUGCUAGAGCUUUUGAUGAUUAUUGGCAGUAGACUAGUAUUAAGGUAACAUACCUAAUGGCCUUCCAAUUUGAAUUACAGCAAUUUCUGCUUUGUUAUUAGUUAUAUUCAUGAGAGCAUGUAUAUUAGCUCUCCAUAUCUCCUUAGCUACUCCUAGAAAGACUUCAGUUAUCACUUUGUUUGAUCAGAAAUAUGCAUCAAUGUCAGGACUUUGUGCAAAUGUUUUUGACCCUGAUUCAAAAGUAUAAUACAUAGAUAGCCUAGUAACUAUCUUCAGCUCACGGAGAACUUUACUAUCACACUCGGAUCUUGAAUUUCAAUUGUAAUUUUCACCAAUUCCUCUGUUUGCCACUGGGAACGUACUAGGCGAUGGUUUUGUUAAUAAAUCGUUUUCUUGUUAAUUGAACAUAACUUAGGUUUUUGGGCGCUGAUCCAACUUCCUUAAUUUGUUUUGACGUUGAAUGUAGAGUGAAUUGAUAGCCUCGCUCAAGCAGGAUUCUUUAUAGACUAAUCUCUUUGAUUUUGGGAAUUUGACAAGAGGAACAGUUCCUUGUAUCUCUAUGGGCAAUUUGAUGGAUAAGUUAGUUGAUCAGUGUAAUAGUUAUAUCUUUAACCUAAUCACUUCAUCUCAGUUUCAGGAACAUCUGCUUACUUACAUCCAUCUUGUUUCAGGCUUGAUUUUCACCUGGUACAACUAUUCUUUGUCUGCUUGCCAUCAUUGGGUAUAUAUCAAUCCACAAACUUCUCCACAUUCGCUCUUUCUUUACUUGAAUUCUGUGUCUGGUUAGUUUUCUGAUGUCUAAUGACCGUGUUUCUCUGUAUACAGCUGUGUAUUUGGUGGCCAUGUAUUCUCGUCGUGAAAUGGAGAAAUUUGAAACGGUAACUUAAGAACCUUAUGCUGCAGUGACAACCAAUUUUCUUCUCCGCUGCGAAUCCUGUCUUCUGUAGAGAGCAACUCACUAAUGAUUUAUCAAUGGAAGCUUUAAGCAUUCAAUCUUUCCUUAUUGUGUGUUGCUACAUGAACAAUACCAGGAUUUCCAGCACAAAAAGAAGAAAGAAGAAGAGAUGAAAGCAAAAGAAGAUGAGCAGAAAGCGAAUGAAUUAGAAGAGAGGUCAAAUGCUGCUCUAUCAGAGAUGAAAACGAGAUUGGAGCAACUAGAAGUGGCCGUCAAGGAAAUUGUGGUUGAUAAAAAGAAAGGUAGCACCAAUGAAGAUCAGCACGUUUCAAAAACCCAGUCAGGAACACCUUCCAAGUAAGUCGAAUAUGCUCGAAGCAAAGAGAUAUGUUCUUCCGGGAAAGCUUUUGGAGCAAACUUCGUUCAUACAAGGAAAAAAGGAGCAAGCUUCUGGUUUGCUGAACUCAAGUCCUGUAAAUCCUUAGGGCAAGAAUUAAGAUCGGUGGUUCGAUGUGAAUGUAGGUAAAUCUGGAGCAAAAUUUUGGGUGGUGUGUCAUGCUUAGGUGAGAAGCAACUUGGAAAUGGUGGAUCAUGUCUUUGUUUCCGUGAAGUUUGGAAUUGUUCAAAGUUGAAACUAGAGAUAAGAUCAGAUUUGUGGAUUUGACUUCCUGGCAAGCUUGAACAGCGAAGCAAGGUGUUGGGCCAAAUCAGUAAUCAGAAUGAGAUUUUUCUUAUGAUAUUUGGUUUGACCUCACAUGUUUAUGAAGAAGUGUUUCGGCGUGGACUCUAUCUAUUACUUCUUCGCUACCCAAUCUUGACUCCCCUCAACCUAGCUGAUUUUUUUUUAUCUUUUGAUAGUCCAAGCAGUAACAUUUAAAUCAGUGAAUGAAGAUUAUCGACAAAACUCUUGAGAAAUAAAAGUAACGAGUGUCACAAAAAAGACGUAUUGAAUGAAGAUGAGUCGUAGAAGUAGAUGUCAAGAUCAAGAGGUGUCCCCUGAUAAUAGCCCUCCAAUGGACAGUCGACGAGCAGAGAUGCUUGAGAAAACUGCUCGGCAUCCUCUCGAAGAGCCCCAGAAAAUCCAACUGGACCCAACUUCAAGACUUGUUAAUAAAUCACACCGUUGAAUAGAUAAUAUAAGAGACAUUCAUGCAGAGUAGUCAAUACAAAAGAGACUCGGCAGUACACAUCUGCAGGGAUUCAUAUACGAAAGAAGGAACGAACCCUCCUUGUCUCUGACGAUAGUGGGUUGGAAUUCCAACUGUGGACAGUGUUAUUAGCGACCGAGUAUUGCAACCAAAGAAGGCAAAAGAAAAAAGACAGAUUUAAAGGUGAAAAAAGAUUGAAAAAGAAGACGAAGGAGAAGUCAACAUCUCACCAACUUCCUUGUUUGUUGGGUUUGGGGGGAAGGUGGCGAGGAAAGUGGCGGGGCACGGUGGUAAUCAUCCCAUCUCCGCCGGCCAAUCUUUGGGAUUAGAUAGCCUAUGAACAAACGUGCGGGACCUCAUCAUUUCCCACGUGGCAGUAGCUAAAUGGUCAAUCUCAUCAGCCGGGAGUAGGUGAAGGACACUAACAGCACAGUACUCCAUCCAUCCCCCAAAUGGGCCCCACUCAAGAAUAUGUUGAAGAGUUAACUUAAUACACACUUUAGCCCCUUUACUAUUCAAAGUUUACUAACACCUCCUAUUAUGUUUUGAUUUACUCCUCUUACUCUCACUACCAUUAGUCUCAAUAUGUUUUGUCCCUCGUGUAGUGACACUUAAAACUCUAUUUUAUCCAACGGUUCGACAUUUUUUUCAUUUCUCAUUAUAUUUGGCCAAUUUUGUAAUAUCUUUUGCUGUAUAUCACAAAUUAACAAAAAAAUUCUAUCCUUUUAGUUUUUCCAUCCAUUUAUCAUUACAAUAUUAAUAAUAAUACCAAAAUUAAUUGAGGAAAAGUAUAUAAAUUUUAUAUUAAUAAAUGAAUAUAGUUAUUAUUUUGUUAUAUUUUUAUUUACGUGGAAUAAGGGAUAUUGCAAUCAUCCGCCAUGUAACAACACUGGUUGACCAGACAUGUUGAGUGAAAAAAAAGUAACAAUAGAUGGUAAAAAAAACUGACAGAUGGGCUUGUUUGUUACGAUUUUUCAAAGUAAAAGAGAUUAUUUCGAUCAAAACAUAACAGGAGACAUCGUUUGUUAAGUUUACGUAGUAUAGGGGCCAAAAUGCUAUUAACCAAAUAAGAAACAAUAAUAAAUAAAGUGUUAAUAAUAAUAACCACUCCACCAGCCAUUUCCCCCCACUAUUAAUUAUUAUUUNNNNNNNNNNNNNNNNNNNNNNNNNNNNNNNNNNNNNNNNNNNNNNNNNNNNNNNNNAUUAUUAUUUAUUAGUUUAUUUUUAUAUAUCUGCCCAUCUACUAUAUUUUGGUCAAAUAGAUGCCAUUUCAUAAAAAAUUAUAUAUACAAGUUUGGAUUUAAACCACUUGCCUGCCAUGUGGACCGUCCAUUUUCUCUCCCCCCCCCCCCCCCCUCAAAAACAAAAAAAUAAAACCACACGCUAAGCUAACUCGGAGCCAAAGGACCAAACCUCAAACCAAAUUCCCACCGGCCGUAUUUCUGCAACUCAAACCUCUCAAUCUGAUAGCUAGCUAGCUGCUGAUCGCCGCAUCUUCAGUUCUCCUGUCAGCUUCAGGUAAUAUUGAUCAACUUUUCUACAACCGACCGUCUACUUCACCUCCUCGAUGUUUAACGAUUUGAGAAAGGAAACAUAUGUGAAUCUCUGCAAGAGGUAGAUUCGUUACUCAAUUUUUUUUUUUAUGUAACUUUGUACGAUUCGUAUAUAUGAUGGUGGAAUAAAGACGACAUACAUGAAUAACUAGAUGGAGAAUUUUGGUGAUUGGAAAAAAAACAAUGUUGAGAGAUUGUGGUGGUGAUGGUUAGGUGAUGAUGGAAAGCGAGCGUGUACAUUUAGAAGGUUCAAAUUGUCAUAAUUAAUAUGUCGAGUGGUCCAUUUUGUUACUUUUGAAAUGUGUAUUGGAGUAGAAGUGAAAUAAUAAAAAAAAGGAAAAAAUAGCAGAGUUGGUAAUAGAUUAAAUUAAGAAAAAUACGGAGAAAUCGAGAUGCCUUGUAUCUGAAAAAGUAAUGAAGAACAGACAGCAGCCUGCCACCUGUCCUUUUCAUUUUCAAUUUUUGUAAAUCAGACCAACUUGCUCUUUCUAAUACGUCUCUAUAUAUACAUUCACGUUCCGCAGACCAGAAUAUCAAAUCUGAAAAAAUGAAAAUCUCCGUCAAAGAAUCGACGAUGGUCCAGCCGGCGGAGGAGACCCCCAACGUGGGACUCUGGAACGCCAACGUUGACCUUGUGGUCCCCAGGUUUCACACCCCAAGCGUUUACUUCUACCGGCCGACUGGAGCGGCCGAUUUCUUCGAUCCCGACGCCAUCAAGCGGAGGAUGGGGAGAGCNNNNNNNNNNNNNNNNNNNNNNNNNNNNNNNNNNNNNNNNNNNNNNNNNNNNNNNNNNNNNNNNUUGAGAUCAACUGUAAUGCGGAAGGUGUUCUGUUUGUGGUCGCGGAGACUACCUCUGUGAUCGAUGAUUUCGGGGACUUUGCUCCCACUUUGGAGCUCCGGCAGCUUAUUCCGGCUGUGGAUUACUCCGGCGGGAUCUCUACUUAUCCUCUCUUGGUUCUCCAGGUAAUUAUCUAAUUAACAUAUUGGUCCGAUUAGACUGCUUAUUCUUUCAGUAUUCAAUUUUGCAUUUAAUUAUUGGAUAAUGAGUCUGGAAGUUAAAUUCGGUGUUUAUCAUGUCCGAACCGAAAUAUUUAGGCAAAGGUAAACCAAAAACCGAAUGUGGAAAUUCAGUAACCAAAAAGUGUUUAAAUUUUCGAGUAAUUUGGUUUUGUUUCGAUCAUUAUUUCGGUUUUUUUGUAUACCAAGUAACCAUAUGAGCAAAUGUUUGUUUUAUUUUAUUUUAUUCAUACCGAACCAAAUCAAACUUUUCUUCUUGAUUAAUACAACCAUGGAUGAAUUAAUUAAUCAAUCAAGCAUUUACUUACAGUAGAGCGAUCUCUAAUUUUACUCAAUACUAAAAAAAAUUCAGGUGACAUACUUCAAGUGCGGCGGAGUCUCACUGGGAGUCGGGAUGCAACACCAUGCCGCCGACGGCUUCUCCGGCCUGCACUUCGUCAACACAUGGUCCGACAUGUCCAGAGGACUCGACCUCACCCUCCCACCAUUCAUCGACAGGACACUCCUCCGUGCUCGGGACCCGCCCCGACCCGCUUUCCAGCACAUCGAGUACCAGCCUCCUCCCUCCUUGAAAACCAUCUCCUCCUCCGCCACCGCUGCAUCCGAUUCCGACGCAGUGAAAGCCUCCGACGCCGGCGUCAAGCCUCUGAAAGCCUCCGACGCCGGCGUCACGCCGCCAGCAGCUGUGUCGAUAUUCAAGCUGACCCGGGACGAGCUCAACGCCCUGAAAGCUAAAUCGAAAGAAGCAGGAAACACCAUCAGCUACAGCUCCUAUGAAAUGCUCGCCGGCCACGUCUGGCGGUGCGCCUGCAAAGCAAGGGGACUCGCCGACGACCAAGACACAAAAUUGUACAUCGCCACCGACGGCAGGUCCCGCCUCCGCCCUCCACUCCCCGAGGGAUACUUCGGGAACGUGAUAUUCACGAC
rnacentral:lncRNA from 1 species